rnacentral:lncRNA from 1 species
CACUGCUGGCUGCUUUUGAUGUGAUGUCAAAUCUUGGAGUUAGUCUUUCACCUUCAAGCCUGAACCAUGACAUCAAAAGCUUCAGAGAAGUGGAGUAUGGGCUCCAUCUGGUCACCCUUUGAACCGAGUGCAUCAUGAGGAUUCUGUAGACUCUGGAUACCAAGGACCCUGGCAGCAGUGGCGGCCUGAGGGAAGGGAACUGUGGAAACUGGGAGGCGCAGACACAGACUUCCUUUAUUUUCACUGCAAAGCUUUUGUGCAUCUGAGCUCCCCCAUCCUGACCUAUGGAUCAUUUCAUCAGAUUACAGAGACAAAGCUGCCAUACAAAAAUAUCUACCCAAAGAAAACUUUGUCAUUGAAAAAAAUGCUUCCAGUGGCUUCUUUCUUUGGAGCAACAUCAAAAUGUUUAUGUAUUUAGUUAAAACCCAUUUUUAGGCUUUUGGUCAUGAGCUCUCAUGUUUUUUAUUUCCCAUUGCGUGAUUUCUGAAAUCCCAUCUG